AACGGGGGCUAAUACCGAAUAUGACCUCGCAUCGCAUGGUGUGUGGUGGAAAGUUUUUCGGCCUGGGAUGGGCUCGCGGCCUAUCAGCUUGUUGGUGGGGUGAUGGCCUACCAAGGCGACGACGGGUAGCCGGCCUGAGAGGGCGACCGGCCACACUGGGACUGAGACACGGCCCAGACUCCUACGGGAGGCAGCAGUGGGGAAUAUUGCACAAUGGGCGGAAGCCUGAUGCAGCGACGCCGCGUGAGGGAUGACGGCCUUCGGGUUGUAAACCUCUUUCAGCAGGGACGAAGCGUAAGUGACGGUACCUGCAGAAGAAGCGCCGGCCAACUACGUGCCAGCAGCCGCGGUAAGACGUAGGGCGCGAGCGUUGUCCGGAUUUAUUGGGCGUAAAGAGCUCGUAGGCGGCUUGUCGCGUCGACCGUGAAAACCUGGGGCUCAACCCCAGGCCUGCGGUCGAUACGGGCAGGCUAGAGUUCGGUAGGGGAGACUGGAAUUCCUGGUGUAGCGGUGAAAUGCGCAGAUAUCAGGAGGAACACCGGUGGCGAAGGCGGGUCUCUGGGCCGAUACUGACGCUGAGGAGCGAAAGCGUGGGGAGCGAACAGGAUUAGAUACCCUGGUAGUCCACGCUGUAAACGUUGGGCGCUAGGUGUGGGGGGCCUCUCCGGUUCCCUGUGCCGCAGCUAACGCAUUAAGCGCCCCGCCUGGGGAGUACGGCCGCAAGGCUAAAACUCAAAGGAAUUGACGGGGG
rnacentral:rRNA from 1 species